rnacentral:rRNA from 1 species
UCUACGGGUGGCAGCAGUGGGGGAUAUUGCACAAUGGGGGGAACCCUGAUGCAGCGACGCCGCGUGGGCGAUGGAGUGCUUCGGCAUGUAAAGCCCUAUCAGCAGGGAAGAAAAUGACGGUACCUGACUAAGACGCCCCGGCUAAAUACGUGCCAGCAGCCGCGGUAAUACGUAGGGUGCGAGCGUUAAUCGGAAUUACUGGGCGUAAAGCGCUCGUAGGCGGUAUGUCAAGUCAAGGGUGAAAUCCCCGCGCUCAACGUGGGAACUGCCUUUGAAACUGGCAAACUGGAGUGUGUGAGAGGAGAGUGGAAUUCCAGGUGUAGGAGUGAAAUCCGUAGAUAUCGGGAGGAACAUCAGUGGCGAAGGCGACUAGCUGGCACAUAACUGACGCUGAGGAGCGAAAGCGUGGGUAGCAAACAGGAUUAGAUACCCGAGUAGUC